UACGAAGGGGGCGAGCGUUGUUCGGAAUUACUGGGCGUAAAGGGCGCGCAGGCGGUCCUUCAAGUCAGAUGUGAAAGCCCCGGGCUCAACCUGGGAACUGCGUCCGAUACUGGCAGGCUUGAAUCCGGGAGAGGGAUGUGGAAUUCCAGGUGUAGCGGUGAAAUGCGUAGAUAUCUGGAGGAACACCGGUGGCGAAGGCGGCAUCCUGGACCGGUAUUGACGCUGAGGCGCGAAAGCUAGGGGAGCAAACGGG
rnacentral:rRNA from 1 species